GGGGAAUUUUGGACAAUGGGCGCAAGCCUGAUCCAGCAAUGCCGCGUGCAGGAAGAAGGCCUUCGGGUUGUAAACUGCUUUUGUACGGAACGAAACGGUCCUGGUUAAUACCUGGGGCUAAUGACGGUACCGUAAGAAUAAGCACCGGCUAACUACGUGCCAGCAGCCGCGGUAAUACGUAGGGUGCAAGCGUUAAUCAGAAUUACUGGGCGUAAAGCAUGCGCAGGCGGUUUUGUAAGACAGACGUGAAAUCCCCGGGCUCAACCUGGGAAUGGCGUUUGUGACUGCAAGGCUGGAGUGCGGCAGAGGGGGAUGGAAUUCCGCGUGUAGCAGUGAAAUGCGUAGAUAUGCGGAGGAACACCGAUGGCGAAGGCAAUCCCCUGGGCCUGCACUGACGCUCAUGCACGAAAGCGUGGGGAGCAAAC
rnacentral:rRNA from 1 species